rnacentral:rRNA from 1 species
GAUGAACGCUGGCGGCGUGCCUAAUACAUGCAAGUCGAACGAGGUGCUUCUGUAGCAAUACGAGAGUAUCCUAGUGGCGAACGGGUGAGUAACGCGUUGGUGACCUGCCCCAAAGUGUGGGAUAACAGUCCGAAAGGACUGCUAAUACCGCAUGUGGUCUUCAGCUCUAGAAACUGAUGACUAAAGGAGUAAUUCGCUUUGGGAGGGACCUGCGUCCCAUCAGCUAGUUGGUUGGGUAACGGCCUACCAAGGCUACGACGGGUAGGGGACCUGAGAGGGUGGCCCCCCACAGUGGAACUGAAACACGGUCCAUACACCUACGGGUGGCAGCAGUAGGGAAUAUUGCACAAUGGGCGAAGGCCUGAUGCAGCAACGCCGCGUGUGCGAUGAAGGCCUUCGGGUCGUAAAGCACUUUUCUGGGAGAUGAGAAAGGACAGUAUCCCAGGAAUAAGUCUCGGCUAACUACGUGCCAGCAGCCGCGGUAAAACGUAGGAGGCGAGCGUUAUCCGGAUUCACUGGGUGUAAAGCGCGUGCAGGCGGUUCGGUAAGUUGGGCGUGAAAUCUCCUGGCUCAACUAGGAGAGGUCGUCCAAUACUACCGGGCUUGAGAGUGGUAGAGGAAGAUGGAAUUCCCGGUGUAGUGGUGAAAUGCGUAGAUAUCGGGAGGAACACCAGUGGCGAAGGCGAUCUUCUGGACCAUUUCUGACGCUCAGACGCGACAGCUAGGGUAGCAAACGGGAUUAGAGACCCCGGUAGUCCUAGCCGUAAACGAUGUGAACUUGGCGUCGGUGGGUUAAACUCCAUCGGUGCCGAAGCCAACGCGAUAAGUUCACCACCUGGGGACUACGGCCGCAAGGUUAA